rnacentral:rRNA from 1 species
UACGGAGGAUGCGAGCGUUAUCCGGAUUUAUUGGGUUUAAAGGGUGCGUAGGUGGCAAGGCAAGUCAGAUGUGAAAACCCGGGGCCCAACCCCGGGAGUGCAUUUGAAACUGACUGGCUAGAGUGCAGGAGAGGUAAGUGGAAUUCCUAGUGUAGCGGUGAAAUGCAUAGAUAUUAGGAGGAACACCAGUGGCGAAGGCGGCUUACUGGACUGUAACUGACACUGAGGCUCGAAAGCGUGGGGAGCAAACAGG